GUCGAACGGCAGCAUGAAUUAGUUUACUAAUUUGAUGGCGAGUGGCGGACGGGUGAGUAAUACAUCGGAACGUACCUAUUAGAGGGGGAUAACUUGGCGAAAGUCAAGCUAAUACCGCAUAAACUCUGAGGAGCAAAGCUGGGGAUCGCAAGACCUGGCGCUAAUAGAUCGGCUGAUGUCUGAUUAGCUAGUUGGUAGGGUAAAGGCCUACCAAGGCGACGAUCAGUAGCUGGUCUGAGAGGACGAUCAGCCACACUGGGACUGAGACACGGUCCAGACUCCUACGGGAGGCAGCAGUGGGGAAUUUUGGACAAUGGGGGCAACCCUGAUCCAGCCAUGCCGCGUGAGUGAAGAAGGCCUUCGGGUUGUAAAGCUCUUUCGGCCGGGAAGAAAUCGUGUUCUCUAACAUAGGACAUGGAUGACGGUACCGGACUAAGAAGCACCGGCUAACUACGUGCCAGCAGCCGCGGUAAU
rnacentral:rRNA from 1 species